AUUGAACGCUGGCGGCAGGCCUAACACAUGCAAGUCGAGCGGAUGAAGGGAGCUUGCUCCUGGAUUCAGCGGCGGACGGGCGAGUAAUGCCUAGGAAUCUGCCUGGUAGUGGGGGAUAACGUCCGGAGACGGGCGCUAAUACCGCAUACGUCCUGAGGGAGAAAGUGGGGGUUCUUCGGACCUCACGCUAUCAGAUGAGCCUAGGUCGGAUUAGCUAGUUGGUGGGGUAAAGGCCUACCAAGGCGACGAUCCGUAACUGGUCUGAGAGGAUGAUCAGUCACACUGGAACUGAGACACGGUCCAGACUCCUACGGGAGGCAGCAGUAGGGAAUAUUGGACAAUGGGUGAAAGCCUGAUCCAGCCAUGCCGCGUGUGUGAAGAAGGUCUUCGGAUUGUAAAGCACUUUAAGUUGGGAGGAAGGGCAGUAAGUUAAUACCUUGCUGUUUUGACGUUACCAACAGAAUAAGCACCGGCUAACUUCGUG
rnacentral:rRNA from 1 species